rnacentral:rRNA from 1 species
UACGGGGGGAGCAAGCGUUGUUCGGAUUUACUGGGCGUAAAGGGCGCGUAGGCGGUUCUUUAAGUCAGGCGUGAAAGCCCUGGGCUCAACCUGGGGGUGGCGCUUGAUACUGGAGGACUAGAGAGUGGGAGAGGUUGGUGGAAUUCCCAGUGUAGAGGUGAAAUUCGUAGAUAUCGGGAGGAACACCUGAGGCGAAGGCGGGCUACUGGGCCGAUACUGACGCUGAGGCGCGAAAGCCAGGGGAGCGAACGGG